rnacentral:rRNA from 1 species
UACGUAGGGUGCGAGCGUUGUCCGGAAUUAUUGGGCGUAAAGAGCUCGUAGGUGGCCUGUCGCGUCGGCUGUGAAAACUCGGGGCUCAACUCCGAGCUUGCAGUCGAUACGGGCUGGCUUGAGUGCGGUAGGGGAGACUGGAAUUCCUGGUGUAGCGGUGAAAUGCGCAGAUAUCAGGAGGAACACCGGUGGCGAAGGCGGGUCUCUGGGCCGUAACUGACGCUGAGGAGCGAAAGCGUGGGGAGCGAACAGG